AUGGCCGGGGCCGGCCCGGCGCUGCCGCCCUCGCCUCCCUACGACUGCUGGCGCCCUCGGCCCCCUCCUCCUCCUCCUCCUCCUCCUCCUCCUCCUCCUCCUCCGCUGCCGCCGCGGCCUCACAGCAGCCGCAUCGCGGAGCCUCCCUCUCGGGGCCAGGGAAGGCGGGAGGCGGAGAGGGGCGGAGGGGCCUCUGCGGCCCGCGGCGAGGACGGCGGGGACAGGGGCGGCGAGAGGCGGGGAGCAGCCGCGCCGGUGCCACUCCGCGCCGGCGGCCGAUCGCGCCCGCCCCUCCGAGAGGCGCUAAACUUCCAACUCCGGCCCGGCUCCGGCGGCCGCGCGAUCCAACAUGGCAGCGGGGGCGGGCGAGACCACGGCGCGCGGCAGCCGGAGGGGAGGCCGGCGAGCGCCCUGCCGCCGCGACCAUUCGCCGUGCGGGGGGGGACGGGGGGGACCGCCUUCCGCCCCCGCCCCGCCCCACCGCGCCUCGGCGGCCCGCUCGCCCCCUCGAUACCUGCCAGGCCGGCCUGGCGGCUGCUGGGCGGCAGAGGUGGAGGAGGAAGAGAAAGGGGAAGGAGAAGAGGAAGGAGCCGUCGCCGCCGUCCCUGCCGCCACCUGCCCCGGGAUGGGGACCGGCGCGGCGAUGUCCGCGCAGCUAGCUGGGAUGGAGGUUGAAGCCUGAAGAUCCAGAGCACAGUUGCCUUAUGCUCAGCCUGGCUUUUAGGUGCAUGAAAGAAAUGCUCAUGCAUCUCAUCUGCAAAGGAAAGAAGUGAAGAAGCAUGGGAGGAAAGACACUAGAAAAGCCCAGGAGGAAAACCUGUGAACACAAGUCUUUGUAUGAAGCUCUACUGACUUCCGUUCAUAUCUUCCAAAAGAUCAGGCGGGAACAGAUGGCAACCCCUUCUGCUCUACUUAUAGCCCCUUUUCCCUAUACUAAGAGCCUGUAACUGUGUUCAAAAGUAUAAUGAAGGGAAAAUACGGUGGAAAAUCCUGAGCUUUCAGCACAAAAAGAAAAAGUAUCUGCAUAUACAGGACUCCUCAAUCCACAGAUCUCACAAAAGUGGCUUGGGCCUUUGCUGUAAAGGAAGACCGUUAGGAACCAAUGCUUCUAAAGUAAUUUCCAGCAAUCCUAGGUUCUUCAGUUUUCAUUCCUUUCUUGUGCAAGUAUGUGCAUAUUUUAUGGGAAGGGAAAAUACUUUAGCAGAAGAGUAUGGGCAGCAUUUUGCUCGUUGAAAAUGUAUGCAAAAAGAUAAAACACAUGGAAGCACUUCACAAGACACUUGGGUGGGUUUUUCUUAAUUUUAUAAAACAAUUAUUUUAUAGCCAAAGCCAUUUCAAGAAAAUUUACAUACCUCUAUUGCUGGUCACAGUGUAAAUAGCUAAAAAUAUAGUACACCUUCGAUAGGUACGUGCUGGUACUGUCCUCACCUCUCUGACCACUUAUGUUCCUUGAUUUUUUUUUUCUCAUUUCUGUUAACUUCUACUGAUACAUAUUGUCAAAAUCUUGCCAUUCAGUGAGAGUUCUGGGUGAUACAUUUUGCUUCAUACUGUUCUCAGACCAGCCGCCUGGUACCUAUUUCAUAAGGGCCCUUUAACCUUCAGGCUCUAUUGUUAGGAUUUUGUUUGCUUUUUUGAUAGGGGUAGGCAGGAAAGGGAAGAAAAAAGAGCUAUUUUCAGACUCUCUGUUUCAUUAAUUAUGUAAAAGCUGUUUCUGUUUUCAUAUCAUGGCAAAGCAGCAAGUACUGAAGGGAAAUGGAAAUAUCAGUAUCUGGUGAUAAGUCCAAGGGACGUUUUCAGAAAUAUCAGCAAAGAACUGCUAUUCUUGCAUAAAACAUCCAAUUUCAAGCAAAGUUCUCUCAAGGAAAGUCACCAGCUAGAAUUACCUGUCUCUAUUUUGAAGGAAUUGCAGUGCUCUUUCUGACUUUCUUAGCGAAAUGGCUGUCAUUGUUUAUCUGAGGCUUUCCUCUGAAUUUCUCACUGUAGUCCUUAGGGUUCGAGCUGUGUUACCCACUGCUGAUGUCUGUAAGCUUUAUGGGAAGCUGCUCUUCUCUUGUAUUUUUCCAUUUCAGGAUACCAGCCCAUAGCACCAAGGUGCUGAAAUACAUUGGAAGUGACGUGUGUAUCAAUAUAAGCAAGUGUAAUUAUUUUAAAGAUUUAUGUUAUAAAUACAUAAUUAAUAAACAGUUUUUAUUAUCCUCGUCAGACAGAAAAUAUGUGUGUCUCAGCUUGGCCGUUAAAUGUGGACCUCUACAGUAAUUUUUCAUACUUUGAGUUUCAGAGUUUAAAUAUUCACACAAUUUCAGAAAUAACAUUCUGCAUUGAAAAUGGUGAGGAAAACUUUCUAUUUAAAGUUAAUUUUUCUAGCAUUACAAAUCAUAUUUUAAAGGUUUUAUUGAAGUCUGAAUUAUCUAAAUGCAAGAAGUUAGUUCUCCAAUGAUUUAUUUUUUUUUCAGCAGCGCCACUCCAUUUCCCAAAUCUUGAUUUUGUCCCAGUGCUGAAUUUAGGUCACACAGUUUGGUUUUCACAUUUUCCAUAAGAUGAAAAGACAGUUGAUGGCACCAAAGAGCAGGCAGGCUUAAAGGAGACCGUGGCUCUCCAUAGCAAAAAAUCCCCCCUACCAUCUCUCUUCCGUCUCCCGUUACUCUUGGUGACAAGAGGAGCAGCCUGGGACAAGUGCAAACCUCGCUGCGGCGCCCACAUAAGCAUGGCUGGGGGAGCCGAGGAACGAGAGCGUGUGAUUACUGCCACCGCACCAGAGGGGUAUGUCAACAGGUCAGCCCAAGAGCGAACAAAAGGGAGGAAGGGCUUGUUUCCCUCAACACCCUUCUUUCUUGGGCUUGUAGAAAACACCAGUCCACUUACUGCAAAACCACUUGUGGUAACUGAAAAAAGGAACUGUCUUUGUGGUUGAAAGUGGGUUUUGAGCCAUGAAGACAAAGUUCCUUUUUUUAAGUAAACCAUUUUUUUUGCAGCAGAGACCUUAUUGAAGAGGACGGGGUUUGCAUCGUUACUGAAUCAAUGGCAAAUAACAUAUUAUUUUAAUUGACAAGAGGUUCAUUCACUUCUCUCUGUGCGCUGAACCUUUAAAUGUUUCAGAAUCCCAGCCUGCUCUGGAGGUAACCGAAUCAUCUGUUAAGUUACGGCUCGUUUCAGAUGCAGUCACUGCAUUUGCUUUCUCAUGGAGAUUUGAUAUUAACUUUUUCAGGCAUAUAAUAGUCUGGAAGAAAGAGGAUCUGGAGUCUAUGGUGAUUUUCUUCUCUAUGUUGAAUUUGUAACCUGGACUUCAGUUACAAAAGUACAUGAAGUAGCCACGGAAGUUGAAAAGUUGACAAUUCCAUUUUGUUUUAAUUAGUCAGGAAAGCCUCUGCUAAUUCCAUAUGGAUGUGGAAGUGUAGUGUCAGUAGGAGUAAUUCUGUCCUUUUGUGGGCCAGCUGCACAGCAGAGCAUCUUCGCCAUCCGAAUGACCAGGCUGGAGCCUGAGAACCAAUGCUGUGGGACAAUAAGUUCUUUCAUUUCUCACACGAAUGCUGUCUUGGGUGCCAGCUAGAACUUUUCCUCUCCCUGUAGUGCCUGUUACGCAUGUCUUUCUGUUUGCAGUAUCUUUUCUAGCCCUCAUUUUCAACCUAAGACUGUUUAUUUGUAGGAAAGUAAUUUGUGCCCUUCCAUUUUGCUCAGCAAAGGAUGAUAUUGAUUUUGCUUUGAAUGUAGAAUCGUACUUUCUGUGUGCUGGGGUAAGACUUGAGCAAGUCUGUUUUAACUUUGAAAUCAGCUAUGGGAAGAUCUAGUUCUUUUCAAGAGCUCCUCUACAAUUCCUUUGUGGCCUGAAGCAUUGGACUGUAUCACUCUCCUUUUCAAGAUGGUGGAGAAGAUGGACUAAACAACAUACUGGAAUUUGAGGCAUCCUCUCUCUCUCUUAGUGCGUAUCUAUUGAUCAUUGCCUGCAGUAACUGUGGAACAGUUCUGUAGCUGCUCUGCAAAUAAGGGGAAAACAUUUUUCUUUCCUCAGCCCACCUAGCACCUAGCUUUGCAUCUAAGCCCGUCUUCAAAAUUGUAUAGCACAUGGUUUGUUGAAACACUUUUUGUUCUCUUCGCUUGGUUUAUACCUCAGCAGAGGUGCAACUUCUGGGUUUUACACCCAGCAAUUACUGUAAGUGGAGUAAAUAAGUUAAUUUUGAUUUAUCCACAGGUAUUAAAAUGAAUGUUUAUUCCUUCCUCUAAGUCUCAUGACAGUUUUUAAAUUCAAUGUAAUGAAAUCUCCCUUCAGCCAUUAAUUAGCCACUAUAACGCUCAAGAACUUCACCAGUUAAAAAAAAGAAAAAGAAAAACAUGUUCUUUCCUUACUGUGAUCUGCAAAUCUGUUGUUAGAGCACAUUUCCUUAACAACAGAAAUCUUGCUCUGGCUUUGACACGUCAGUUCUUGUUUGCAGCGUGACUGACCUCCCACCCUGAUCAGCAUGGCUCUGACCAGGAAGCCUGAUCCUUACUGAGCAGAGGGAACACAGGCAAGUGCCUUCAAAAUCCACCUUUUCUACUGUAAGCACUAAGUACAACGUACAUAGUUGCCCUCUCAGAGCUGGCCUGAGAUCAGUAGUUUACUCCCAAAAGCUCAAUGAACAGCUGGCAAAUAUAUAAGCAACUCAGCAACAGUUGCAAUUUGGACCCUGAUGGAUGACUUAACUUUCAUGUAGGAUUUUUUUUUUCUUUUAAUUCUGUAUCCAACAUAUUACAACCCUAAGGAACAGGCAUGAACCGCACCUUGGUUCUUGUUGGAGAUGUGCGGGGGCUCACACUACCAGAUCCUUACUGCAGAGCUACAGUGUGUCAGGGCUGGCUGUGUCCUGCCACUCCUGCUGCUGCUGCCCUCCCGGAGCCCAAAGAGUGACAUCCCAUGGAAGGUCAGCCUUCUUCUGGCAGAUGGGUCCAGACCUGGAGCUUCACUCUUGAAUCAGACCGUCUCUGUUGUGUUAGUUCUUCUUUAAUUGUCUUCUGUGCGGUUUUGCUAGUUGAUGCAAAUCUUUAGGGAAAAAAAGAAAAAGAGCAGUCUUUAUGCAUCAGUGUUCUUGAAGGCAUAUGGCUCCACUUCAUAAAGCAAGACUGAGAACAUGCA